rnacentral:rRNA from 1 species
UACGUAGGUGACCAGCGUUGUCCGGAUUUACUGGGCGUAAAGAGCGCGCAGGCGGUCGUUCAAGUCGAGUGUGAAAGCCCCCGGCUCAACUGGGGAGGGUCAUUCGAUACUGAUCGACUUGAAGGCAGGAGAGGGAAGUGGAAUUCCCGGUGUAGUGGUGAAAUGCGUAGAUAUCGGGAGGAACACCAGUGGCGAAGGCGGCUCUCUGGGACGGUACUGACGCUGAGACGCGAAAGCGUGGGGAGCGAACAGG